UACGGAGGGUGCAAGCGUUGUUCGGAAUUUCUGGGCGUAAAGGGCGUGUAGGCGGUGUGGUAAGUCAGAUGUGAAAGCCCUGGGCUUAACCCAGGAAGUGCAUUUGAAACUGCCAUGCUUGAGUAUGGGAGAGGAGAGUGGAAUUCCCAGUGUAGAGGUGAAAUUCGUAGAUAUUGGGAGGAACACCCGUGGCGAAGGCGACUCUCUGGACCAAUACUGACGCUGAGGCGCGAAAGCGUGGUGAGCAAACAGU
rnacentral:rRNA from 1 species